UCGGGAAUUUUGGGCAAUGGGGGAAACCCUGACCCAGCAACGCCGCGUGAAGGAUGAAGUAUUUCGGUAUGUAAACUUCGAAAGAAUAGGAAGAAUAAAUGACGGUACUAUUUAUAAGGUCCGGCUAACUACGUGCCAGCAGCCGCGGUAAUACGUAGGGACCAAGCGUUGUUCGGAUUUACUGGGCGUAAAGGGCGCGUAGGCGGCAUGACAAGUCACUUGUGAAAUCUCUGGGCUUAACCCAGAACGGCCAAGUGAUACUGUCGCGCUAGAGUGCAGAAGGGGCAAUCGGAAUUCUUGGUGUAGCGGUGAAAUGCGUAGAUAUCAGGAGGAACACCUGAGGUGAAGACGGGUUGCUGGGCUGACACUGACGCUGAGGCGCGAAAGCCAGGGGAGCAAACGGGAUUAGAUACCCCCGUAGUCCCUGAGCGGGCUGGCAAGGCGCAU
rnacentral:rRNA from 1 species